CUUCAGGUAGUACUGAAGAAAGGCAAUAAAUCCUUUUGGAGUGGAAUUGUGACGUUGUUAUUCGUUUAUUGUUUAGUUGUAAAACAAAAUUAUAAACAGUUCAUGGUUUUCAGGUUGUAAGAUUAAAGCUGAAAAAUGGGCCUUGAAUAAAAAAAGCGUUUUGACCAGUUAAUGAUGUUUGGGUCUCCUGCUACACCGUAGCUUUAACAUGCGAUUGGAUAUCAUGAGGCGACACGUGUCACUGAUGUCCCUUGUUACUUACUAAAAUCUUGGAUGCAAACACAAAGAGAACAACUGAUGACACCAAAGUACUGCCAUGCAAUGCAGUAGCAAUACCACUUUUUAAGACAAUAAUGCAGUAUCAGUACCAGAAGUAGCAACAUGUUGUAAGGGUAAUGCAGUAUCAGAACCAGUACUUCCAAAAUCACUGCAGUACCAGUACUAGUAAUGCAGCUUUGGCCUAGAAUAUGAAAUAUGUUUUGCCCUGUUAAUGGUUUUUGGGUCUCCUGCUACACAGUAGCUGCAACAUGCAAUUGGCUAUCAUGAGGCACACAUGUCAUCACUGAUGGCUCUUGUAUCAACUUUAUUUCAAUUAAGUAUAUCUAUAAAUAUGCUGUUUUGUGUUGUUGUGUUUUCAUGAAAUUUAAUUGAAUUUUCUUAUAACCGUUUAAAAUUUAAAACAAAAUAUGUUUUCCAAAAAUUAGAAAGUCUAUAUAAAUAAAU